ensembl:lncRNA uncharacterized LOC113094358
GCCAAAGAACCUACUUUUUCCUGGAGAAGAUGAGGAUGAAGAAAUUAGUGUUGAUCAGUCAAAAGAUAAUGCAAAGAAAAGAAAAGAAGAACUGCCUAGAGCUCCGAAGAUCUUUCACUCAUUUUCUUCUGACUCCCAAAGGAUGCAGAAGACUGGAUCUACUCUGAAGUCUGUGUUGGCCAAAUCUAAGCCAACAAAAUUGUAAGCAGUAUAAGUUGUUAUUUUGAGUAAGGUAAUUGAUUAAUUUAACUUGUGAAAAUGCCUAAAAUGAUCUGUUCUAACUUUCUUCAAAUCCCCACAUAGUUUACCAAAUAUCCCUCCUAAUUCCCAAAGUCAUCAUACUUCUAAUGUACCUAAGAGAACCCACACACAUUCAGUUUCAGAGAAGCUGUAUUUCUCCUGACUUGUUUGAGAUAGAUUAUACUCUCCCUGACCCUUUUCAAAGAAGUCACUCUCCCCCUGACCCACUGCAAAGAAGCUGCAUUUCCCCUGAUCGGCGUCAGAGAGGGAUUGUUUAUCACCAGCCACAAGGACUAUUAAGACAUCAAGCUGUUCUUGAAACUUCCCUCCUGCGUAACAUUCUCACAAAUCAAGAGAUCAUGAUGGACCAAAUGAAGAUAAUCUAUAGGACAGUUCAGGGUCUAAAAUCUGUCAGUGAAGAAGACAUAGGCCUUGAAGCAAACCUACUGCCAGUAGCUGAUCUUCAGUCUCUGCAAAACUUGGAGGAGCUAUUGAGAAAAUUUCCUGACUUUCAAAAGCAAUUGAUAAGCAUGUUGGCAAUGAAAGGUGGGACAGACACCAGAGAUGGAGUUUGGAGAAUAAUGACAGCAACAAUCACAAACUCCCUGGCCAAGAAUAUAAAUAUGCGUGGUGUUAAUGGGAAGAUCAGCUUUAAAAGCUUGCAGUUACGAAACAUUGUUCUUGGUAAGUCUGUUGUGAGCAUGACCACUUUUAAAAAAAAAAUCUAA